AGGCAACUCACCUCCAACCUCUCAAGGGCAAUUAGAAAUGGAUAAUCAGUACUGACUUUGAUAGUAAAUCACACAUUCUAAUAAAUGAAUAAUUUAAACAAAGAACUGCCAAAAAUCAUCCUUGUGAUAAUUAGCAUUGAGGUACCUCACUAAUGUUGUUCCAAUUAUCUGUUUUCUGUGCAGAAUUUUGCAGACAAUUUCAAUAAAGAUAAAUCGCAAAGCAAAGUACCUGGGAUAUGUCAGACAAAGAGACAAUCUGGGUCCCAUGACGGUUCAAGCAUUUCAGAGUCUACCGGGAGUUCACAGACCAGUGGCGGGACAGAAGCAACAACAUUCUGUUCAACUCUAUCUUCAGAAAUUUCAGAAAGAUCCACACCUCUCAGCAAAAAGACAGAAGCAGUACCCAACAAAGAUUUCAAAUCUAGAUUGCCCAAAAGAAAUACCUUGCAACGAGCAUAUGAAAAUAUACCACCAGGAAUGACACAAGAAUGGUACCAUCAUUUAAAUAAGAAAGCAAAAAUUCUGAGAAAUCAUGGUCUGGUAUUGGGACACUUGUCACAAUUUGUUAACUGAAAUUUUUCAUCAUGUUGUCGGAUAUGAUACCUCCCUGACAUUGUCCAUCAUCUGAUGUAGCAACAAAUCAAGACUACUCUGAAUAAACAAACUUUCUUGUUUCCACAACUGUGAAAAUAA